rnacentral:misc_RNA from 1 species
GGAAAACCUUACAACCAUCUGCAUAAGAAAUUUGCAGGAUUUUCAUGUAGCUAUUCUGGUAAGUUUUUGAAAUUUUUCAACAUUUAUAGAUUUGGGGGAGGGAUGGGAGCUGUAACGUCGUCUAUGGCGGCAAAGUUUGCUUUUUUUCCGCCUAAUCCACCGUCGUAUGGGGUGGUGGUGGAAGAAUCGACCGGAAAACUUAAGAUGACAGAGGUGGUUCAAGGGGAAGACGUUGACAUUUUGAAGCUAGAGACGAAGAAGGGGACGGAGAUUAUUGCUAUGUACGUGAGAAAUCCGGCCGCGAAGUUGACCGUGCUUUACUCACAUGGAAACGCUGCUGAUUUAGGGCAGAUGUACGAUUUGUUUACAGAACUCAGUCUCCAUCUCCAGGUCAAUUUGAUGGGGUAUGACUAUUCAGGGUAUGGCCAGUCCACUGGCAAGCCAAGUGAGCAGAACACUUAUGCCGACAUAGAAGCUGCAUAUAAGUGUCUUGAAGAGACAUACGGGGUGAAAGAGGAGGAUAUAAUAUUGUAUGGACAGUCUGUUGGUAGUGGACCAACAGUAGAUAUGGGAUCCCGCUUAUCAAGAUUGAGGGGACUGGUUCUGCACAGCCCGAUACUCUCUGGAGUUCGUGUCCUGCAUCCAGUUAAGAGGACAUACUGGUUUGACAUAUUUAAGAACAUUGACAAGAUACCAUUGGUUGAAUGUCCGGUCCUCGUUAUUCAUGGCACCGCAGAUGAUGUUGUGGAUUGUUCCCAUGGUAAGCAGCUGUUUGAUCUAUGUAAGCAAAAAUAUGACCCGUUGUGGGUUGAAGGAGGUAACCAUUGUGAUUUAGAGCUCUAUCCUGAGUACAUAAAACAUCUGAAGAAGUUCAUAUCAGCUAUUGAG